rnacentral:lncRNA from 1 species
UGCUUCUCCCCUGCAGUGCCCAAGCUCCAUGAGGGGCCCUGAGCACAGGCUGGCUGGGGGAGCGCCACCCUCUGCGACUCUGCCUGGAUGGCUCUCAGUGGAUUCUGAGGACUCUGUUCAAGAGCUAAAGCAAACUGGCCAUCUUUCUGAACUCUGUGAAUGGAACAAAGCUCCCAAGUGCCACGGAAGAAUUGCUGUGUUUGAUUUCAGCCUGCAGCCUGCCGCACCUGCCCCGUUUGUGAGCACAUGGCAUCCUUUUGAAGAGUUCUGAAACAUGGAGUUGACAGAUCCCAUCAGAGUUUGGCUUAUAUGAGACCAAAAAAAAAAAAAAAAACCCAGCAACUUGCUGGCUUAAAAAGACUGAGUAUCCACUCCAUAGUACAUAUGCAUAAUGAACACUGAACAUUCCACUUCUAAGUUUCAUUUCUAUUUAUCCCUACACAAAAGAAACGUUAUGUUGUAACUUUCUGGGGACAUCAAGGAAAUGUUCUGUUGAUCCAGGAUCUUCUCAUUCAGUGAAGCCUUGCAAGAAAUAUAACCCUUUCAUAACACACAUGCUCAUCUUCCUCCUCUCCAAACUGUCAAUUGUCAGUUGCUGUUUCCAGCAGAUUUAAAGACAAUGAAUUAUUUAUACAGGUGGUUGCUGAAAAUGAAACACCCUUCAGAACUGAAACAAAAAGCUAUAAAUCUGAAGAGGAGUGGGAGAGUCCUGCACUCACAUGUCAUAGAAUCACCCUUCACAUAGAGG